ACGGAGGGUGCAAGCGUUACCCGGAAUCACUGGGCGUAAAGGGCGUGUAGGCGGUUUGAUAAGUCUGGCUUAAAAACUCGAAGCUCAACUUCGAAUCUGGGUUGGAUACUGUCAGACUAGACGGCUGGAGGGGAGAGUGGAAUUCUCGGUGUAGCGGUGAAAUGCAAAGAUACCGAGAGGAACACCAGUAGCGAAGGCGGCUCUCUGGACAGUACGUGACGCUGAGGCGCGAAAGUGUGGGGAGCAAACCG
rnacentral:rRNA from 1 species